CGCCGCCAUUUUGGGCUGGGAGGAGGCAGCGGAGGGACUCGCUGCGCAGUGAGAGCACCCCGUGGGGGGUGGUCCGGGCGCGGGGAGAGGCCGGGCCGAGUGGGCUACCUGAAGUGGCGGCGCCGGGAGACGGCGGGAAGUGGGACCGGGGGCCAGGGAGGGUGAAGGUUGGAGUCUCCUCGGCCGAGCCCGGUCCUCAAACCGUCCCGGCAGCCCCGCAGCCUCGCCUCUCACAGAGUGCGGGGUUCUUCGGUUAAACCAUCUUACUUCCUACUGCUUGAAAUCUAAAUCCAGAGAGAUUUGUGGCUCAAGGAUAUCUUCAAAUAAAAGUUUUAUUGCUAAAAUGUCAGUUAAAAUUAUGCCUAGGUAGGUGCUGAAGUAGGAGAGGCUUUGACGUAGCAGAGUGACUGGCAGUGAAUUUUGUGGGUACCUUGUGAUGAGUCUUAUUAUCAGUUACAAAUGGUCAAAACAUGCCUAAGCCUUCAGCCUUACUAAAAGUUUAACAGAACUUGGCCUGGCGCGGUGGCUCACACCUGUAAUCCCAGCCCUUUGGGAGGUGGAGGCGGGUGGAUCACCUGAGGUCAGGAGUUUGAGACCAACCUGGCCAACAUGGUGAAGCCCCUUCUCUACUAAAAAUACAAAAUUAGCCGGGUGUGGAGUUGCGUGCCUGUAAUCCCAGCUACUCGGGAGGCUGAGGCAGGAGAAUCGCUUGAACCCAGGAGGCAGAGUUUGCCAUGAGCCUCUCACCGUUGCACUCCAGCCUGGGUGACAGAGUAAGACUCUGUCUCAAAAAAAAAAAAAAGUUUUCCAGAACUGAAGUUCUGCUCCUCCUAUUAAUAAUUUUUCUUCAGUUGGAGUGACAACUCCAUAGCAUUAACUUUUUUCCCUCUGCUCCCCAGAUGUUUUACAACUGGAUUACAAAAUAGGAUCAUCAUUGACUAGGGUCCUCAAUCCAAAACUGGAACCACUUACUCCUAACUGAAGCUUCAGUACACUUGAUGCCUACUGUGGUUUGAUUUUUUACCUACAUAUGACAUGUUCGCUCUACACUGAUCAAGAGAUGUGAGUUUAAAAAAGCUAACUAACUUGGUAGGACUUAAAUAGUCAUAGGAACAGAAAAGGCUUUUAAAGACGAUCUUUGUGGGUCUUCUGUCAAGAAUUUAAUGGAGGAUCCUAGACACUUGGGAUUCAUCCUCCAUUAUGAAGUAAUCUAGUGAAAUUUUUGGAUGCUACUGAGUGGCAAAUACUGUACCAGCAGCAGAAAUUUGUUACUCAUUUGUAAAUGAAACUUACUAUCCUUAAGGUUGACCCACAAGCUUUUCCAUUCUUUGCUAAGAAAAAUUGGGAAUAGGCCGGGCACAGUGGCUCACGCCUGUAAUCCCAGCACUUUGGGAGGCCAAGGCGGGCAGAUCACGAGGUCAAGAGAUUGAGACCGUCCUGGCAGACAUGGUGAAACCCCAUCUCUACUAAAAAUACAAAAAUUAGCUGAGUGUGGUGGUGUGCACCUGUAGUCACAGCUACUUGGGAAGCUGAGGCAGGAGAAUUGCUUGAACCCCGGGGCUGGAGGUUGCAGUGAGCCGAGAUCGUGCCACUGCACUCCAGCCUGGGUGACAGAGCAAGAUUCUGUCUCAAAAAAAAAAAAAGAAAAAAUGGGAAUAAAACCAGCUUAUUAGUGGCCUCCUGGUUAUCUAAGGAAAACACAGGACUGUAGGACUGAAAAUUAGGAACUCCGAGCUCUGUUUCUGUGUGUGCUGCCCUUAACUUGGUUGACUUGGCCAGAGGCCAAAUACUGAUAAUGAGGCCAAACUGGUCAUUUUGCUGCUUAGUCUAUUGUUCAUCUACUGUUCAACCAGACUUUCAACUUCCUUUUCAGCUCUCCCCUCUCAGAUGAGUUGCAUUAUGCUUUUAUGACAAAUUCUACAAACUCUAUAUUCAUUUGAAAAUGGUAUCAGCACUGUCUCCCUCAUAAAUACCUAGAGGAGUAACUAGUCUUAAGUCGCUAUGUAAACACUUACUCCUUGUAACUUUGUUAUAUGAGAACUUCACAAGGAAUGCUUCAAAGAUCAUUGGGGCAGUUGGAAAGCCUGCCUUACCAAAGUGUGGCCUUAGUUGUCCAUAGCAUCACAAAAGAGCCAUCCAAGUAGGCUGAAUGAGGAUCAGUCUCUCAGGGUGCCCACUGGUUGUGGCUGUGAAGUCCUGGACACUCAUUUUGCCUGAUGGCCAAAUCCUAGGGAGCAGUGACUAUGUGUGAGUAGGAUUCGUUGACAGAGGUAGGAGGUUUUUUUUUUGUUUUUUUUUCCUGCUGCCUGUAUAAUUGCAGAAAAGGAGUGAUUCUUUACAGUAAUUCCCCCUCUUCGGGAUGAAGAUGCUUGCUUCUGUUUGGUUUCCACAGUUAAAUCAAUUUUUUUUCCUUUUCUUUUGAGAUGGAAUCUUGCUCUGUCGCCCAGGCUGGAGUGCAGUGGCGCGAUUUCGCCCACUGCAACCUCCACCUCCCAGGUUUAAGCGAUUCUCCUGCCUCAGCCUCCCGCGUAGCUAGGAUUACAGGCACUCACCACCAUGCCUGGCUAAUUUUUGCAUUUUAUUUUUUUCUGGAACGGAGUUUCACCUGGUUGCCAAGGCUGGAGCGCGAUGGUGUGAUCUUGGCUCACCACAACCUCUGCCUCCUGGGUUCAAGCGAUUCUCCUGCCUCAGCCUCCCAAGGAGCUGGGACUAUAGGCAUGCGCCACCAUGCACGGCUAGUUUUGUAUUUUUAGUAGAGAUGGGGUUUCUCCAUGUUGGUCAGGCUGGUCUUGAACUCCCAACCUCAGGUGAUCCUCCCACCUUGGCCUCCCAAAGUGCUGGGAUUACAGUCAGUGAGCCACUGUGCCCGGCCUGUAUUUGUAUUUUUAGUAGAGACAGGGUUUUACCAUGUUGGCCAGGCUGGUCUCCAACUCCUGACCUCAGGUGGUCCGCCCACCUCGGCCUCCCAGUGUGCUAGGAUUGCAGGCGUGAGCUACGGUGCCUGGCCAGUUAAUCAGUUUUUUACCCUCCUGUGUUUAGGCCCCAACAUCCUGUUCUUGAUCUUUUUUGGCAAAAAUUUGGCCAAAGAUUGAAAUUUUGCCUCCUGGACCAUAUAUUUUGCUCCAGUUGCAAAGUAUGACUUUUAUCCUUUGGUCAGCAGUUCCCAUGGUGUUUAGGGCCUGAAUUUGACAUUCUUUUUUUUUUUUCUUUUUGAGAUGGAGUCUAGCUCUGUUGCCCAGGCUGGAGUGCAGUGGCACGAUCUCGGCUUGCCGCAACCUCUGCCUCCCGGCUUCAAGCAGUUCUCCCUGCCUCAGCCUCCCAAAUAUCUGGGAUUACAGGCGCCCACCACCACACCCGGCUAAUUUUUGUAGCUUUUUUUGUUUGUUUGUUUGUUUUUGAGAGUCUCACUCUGUCACCAGACUGGAGUGCAGUGGCGCAGUCUCGGCUCACUGCAACCUCUGCCUCCUGGGUUCAAGCAAUUCUCCUGCCUCAGCUUCCCAAGUAGCUGGGACUACGGGUGGGCACCACCAUGCCUAGCUAAUUUUUUUUCUGUAUUUUUAGUAGAGACGGAGUUUUACCAUAUUGGCCAGGAUGGUCUCGAUCUCUUGACCUUGUGAUGCGCCCGCCUCGGCCUCCCAAAGUGCUGGGAUUACAGGCGUGAGCCACCGUACCUGGCAACAUUCUCUUUUUUUAAAAAAAUAACUUUUUAUUUCUAGCCUCAACCAUUUACACUUUGCUUGAGAAAGAAUAAUAAAGUGGAAUUGUUAUUCCAGUGAUGUUGUGCAAAUGUGAGAAAUAGUACUUCCCCCAAAAAAACAAACCUCGAAACCCCACAAACUCAAGUGUACUUAAGUACUUAACGUUCAAGUACUUUUUAACUAUAACCAACUUUUCCACCACACUGUUGUGAAUAUUUGUUGCUAGCUGUUAUGGGUAUAAGUGAUCAAGGGAAGAACUGAUGCAUUACCUAAUGCUUGACUAAAUAUAGCCAGCCCUUAAGUAGGUAGAGUAUUUGGUUGUGGGUUUUGUUGUUUAAGUCUGUGGAGUCCCUCUUUGGUUUCUUUAACUUUUGCAGUCAUUAGGGCAGAGUAUAUUUAUUUACAUUUCUCCAAGCAAAGUCUUGCUCUGUUGCCCAGGCUGGAGUACGGUGGCGCGAUCUCGGCUCACUACAACCUCUGCCUCCCAGGUUCAAGCAAUUGUCCUGCCUCAGCCUCCCGAGUAGCUGGGAUUACAGAUACCCGCCACGAUGCCUGGCUAAUUUUUGUAUUUUUAAUAGAGACGAGAUUUUGCCAUGUUGGCCAGGCUGGUUUCGAACUUUUGACCUCAAGUGAUCCAUCUGCCUUGGCCUCCCAACGUGCUGGGAUUACAGGCGUGAGCCACCAUGCCUGGCCUAAAUUUACUUUUUAAUAGAGACGAGGCUGGUUAUGUUGCCUGUGUUGGUAACUGUGUUGCCUAGGCUGGUGUCAAGUGCUUGAGCUCAAGUGACCCUCCUGCCUUGGCUUCCCAAAGUGUUAGGAUUACAGGCAUGAAGCCACUGCGCCUGGCCUGUCUAAUCUUUAUUAUGCUUCCCCUCUUUAGAGAUACUUAGUCUGUUUUUCAGAACUAAACCAAUCUGGAACUCCCUGGCUCUCUCUCCUAAAACUCUGAAGUCUAGAGGACCCUGUCUCCUGAGGGCUCUAAGAAAAGCUGUCCAGCUAGCUGUGUCAGUUUGAGAAGCAGUUUUUCCUGAUUGAAUACCUAGGCCCCAGUAGGAAAAAGGGAACAAACUGAAAUUGCUAAUUUGUAAGCCUGGUCUUUUGAGCAGCUCAGUUAAAA
rnacentral:lncRNA from 1 species